rnacentral:rRNA from 1 species
GACGAACGCUGGCGGCGUGCCUAAUACAUGCAAGUCGUGCGAGGCUCUUCGGAGUCGAGCGGCGGACGGGUGAGUAACACGUGGGCAACCUGCCCGACAGACCGGGAUAACGCUUGGAAACGAGUGCUAAUACCGGAUACGCUCUUGCUUCGCAUGAAGCGGGAGGGAAAGUUGCUUUUGCAGCACUGUCGGAUGGGCCCGCGGCGCAUUAGCUAGUUGGUGAGGUAACGGCUCACCAAGGCGACGAUGCGUAGCCGACCUGAGAGGGUGACCGGCCACACUGGGACUGAGACACGGCCCAGACUCCUACGGGAGGCAG